rnacentral:rRNA from 1 species
CCUGAAUCCGCCAAUGCCGCGGUGCAGUGAAGAAGGCCUUCGGGUUGUAAAGCUCUUUUGUCAGGGAAGAAACGGUGGGUGGCUAAUAUCCUCCGCUAAUGACGGUACCUGUAAGAAUAAGCACCGGCUAACUACGUGCCAGCAGCCGCGGUAAUACGUAGGGUGCAAGCGUUAAUCGGAAUUACUGGGCGUAAAGCGUGCGCAGGCGGUUUUGUAAGUCUGACGUGAAAUCCCCGGGCUCAACCUGGGAAUUGCGAUGGAGACUGCAAGGCUAGAAUCUGGCAGAGGGGGGUAGAAUUCCACGUGUAGCAGUGAAAUGCGUAGAGAUGUGGAGGAACACCGAUGGCGAAGGCAGCCCCCUGGGUCAAGAUUGACGCUCAUGCACGAAAGCGUGGGGAGCAAACAGGAUUAGAUACCCUGGUAGUCCACGCCCUAAACGAUGUCUACUAGUUGUCGGGUUUUAAUUAACUUGGUAACGCAGCUAACGCGUGAAGUAGACCGCCUGGGGAGUACGGUCGCAAGAUUAAAACUC